CUUUGGAGGAACAGCUGACCAGCUUGGUUCAGAACCCGCCUGGGGCUCGGGAGCACCCAGAGGUAACGUCACUUAAAAGUUUUGUAGAACAGCAAGAUAACAGCAUAAGAGAACUCCUCCAGAGUGUGGAAGAACAAUAUAAACAACUAAGUCAACAGCACAUUCAGAUAAAAGAAAUAGAAAAUCAGGUCAUGAAUCUGCUCUGCUCAAAGCCUCUACACGGCUUCCUAUCUAUCUUGCUCAUCGUCACUCUUGAACCUGCAAUGGCCUGACCUGCAUUAUCUCACCAGCUUCCCGGCUAUUCCCCAACUUCGUCAAACACGCUGCUCCCCAGGGCCUCCGUCUAGGUGGUCUCUGUCUAGAAUCCUGGGUUUCCCCCUAGUAUCUGGACUUCCUAUAUAAUAUUAUCAAAUACAAAAACGUCAGUGAAGCUGUCCCAGGCCAAUAAAUAAAAAAUAAAAAGUCUUCCGCA
rnacentral:lncRNA from 1 species